GCCGCCGGUUCCGUUUCUAGGCAUCGGUGAGCUGAAGCUGUGGUCCUUCUACAGAGCACUCAUCGCCGAGUUCAUCGCCACCCUCCUCUUUCUCUACGUCACCGUCGCCACCGUCAUCGGCCACAAGAAGCUCAGCGAACUCGACCAGUGCAACGGCGUCGGCCUCCUCGGCAUCGCCUGGGCUUUCGGCGGCAUGAUCUUCAUCCUCGUCUACUGCACCGCCGGAAUCUCAGGUAACAUUUGAAACCCUAACAUUUUCACUUAAUUUUAAUUUGUUCUUAAACUCUGUAAUUACAUUAAUUAAUUAAUUCAGGUGGGCACAUCAACCCGGCGGUUACAUUCGGGCUGUUUCUGGCGAGGAAGGUGUCGCUGAUUAGGGGAAUCUCUUACAUCAUAGCGCAGUCUCUGGGCGCUAUUUGCGGCGUGGGGCUGGUGAAAGCCUUCAUGAAGAGCGACUACAACCGCUUCGGCGGCGGCGCCAACUCCGUCGCCCAUGGUUACAACAUCGGCACGGCGGUGGGUGCCGAGAUUAUCGGCACCUUCGUGCUUGUUUACACAGUCUUCUCCGCCACAGACCCCAAGAGGAGCGCGCGUGACUCUCACGUGCCUGUCCUGGCCCCACUCCCGAUAGGGUUUGCAGUAUUCAUGGUCCACUUGGCCACCAUCCCCAUCACCGGCACCGGCAUCAACCCUGCUCGGAGCUUCGGAGCUGCCGU
rnacentral:lncRNA from 1 species